AUUGAACGCUGGCGGCAGGCCUAACACAUGCAAGUCGAGCGCGCGGCGGACGGGUGUGUAAUGUAUGGGGACUGCCCGUUAGCGGGGGAUAAAUACUGUACACGGUAGCUAUUACCGCAUAUUAUCGGCUAACCCAUAUGGUACUAGCUAGUCGGUGCGGUAAUGGCUAACAUAGGCGACGAUCCCUCGCUGGUCUGAGAGGAUGACCAGCCACGCUGGGACUGAGACACGGCCCAGACUCCGAGGGAGGCAGCAGUGGGUAAUAUUGCACUAUGGGCGCAAGCCUGAUGCAGCCAUGCCGCGUGUAUGAAGAAGGCCCUAGGGUUGUAAAGUACUUUCAGUCGGGAGGCGUUACCGACAGAAGAAGCACCGGCUAACUCCGGGCCAGCAGCCGCGGUAAUUC
rnacentral:rRNA from 1 species